CUCUCUCCUUCCUAUCUGAGAUAGAGGAGAAGAGAGAAUUCAGAAAGACUUCAUUUGCAUAUAUUUAACUGUUGCAUUUCUGCACAAUGUAUUAUGGAGUUUGGAAUUUGCUAGUGUUCUAUUUUGGACUGCUAUAUGAAAUGGUGCAUGUAAAAGGUUAUUUGUCUUGGAAAGAGAGGACAGCACACUGGCUGACAAGAAAGGCUUGGUGGACUUCUCAAUCUGAAGAUCAAUCUGAAUGACUUGUUGCACUGGAGAAUAUGCUUGGUAUUAUGGAGAGUGCUCGGGUUCUGUACAACAGAUUUCCUAACUCAAAUCAACAGUAGGGGAAAAUCUGUCCAUCACCAUAAAGGCUGGAGAAACUAUUAGAAAAUGUUGUGAAAGGAGCAGUGAUUCACAAAUGGUUUUCUAACAAGCGUGAGAUUUUGUCGGCAAUGCAAGACUUGCAGUUAUCAGACAGUUACAAGGAGGAUACAUGCAAUUUCAAGUGACAUGCAAACUCAGCUAAAGGAUGACUUGGAAAUAUGUGACUGGUUUUCACUGCAGUUCGAUGAAUCGACAGAUAUAUCAGAUACAGUGCAGUUGGCAGUUAUGGUGAGGAUGGUAUUUAAUGACUUCACCAUAAAAGAAGAGUUACUAAAAGUAUUGCCCAGGGCGCUGUCAGUGGUGGAAUGGACCCCCACUUGGGAAUCCCACCUCAGCACGCCAAGCUUCUAGGGUUCAAUUCCCCACCCUGGCUACUUCCUACCAAUGUCCUCUGGGUAAUCCUUUCCAUCUCUCCCCUCUGGACUGGGGACCUCCCGCUGACGGGCUUUUGAAAAACCAUGUGAAUUAAUUAUACCUAUUUUCCAUUAAGUGCUGAUGAACGCGUAUGAUUAACUUGUGUUUAACUUUUUUUCAUAUUUGUUUGUUUGUUUGUUUCUUGAAAUCCAGAUACAAGUAACAAUACAAAGAAUAUUUUUUAAUUAACCAUAACCGACUAUCUAUGUUAAAGUAAGAAUAAUAAAUCUAUUUGGACCAGCAGUUCAACAAUGUUUUACUUUUUUAAAAUAAAUAAGAUGAAAACUGUUUGAUAUUUAUUUUGUAAAAACU